rnacentral:rRNA from 1 species
UACAGAGGGGGCAAGCGUUGUUCGGAAUUACUGGGCGUAAAGGGCGCGUAGGCGGCCUUCUAAGUCGAACGUGAAAUCCCCGGGCUCAACCUCGGAACUGCCUUUGAUACUGCGAAUCUUGAGUCCGAUAGAGGUGGGUGGAAUUCCUAGUGUAGAGGUGAAAUUCGUAGAUAUUAGGAAGAACACCGGUGGCGAAGGCGGCCCACUGGAUCGGUACUGACGCUGAGGUGCGAAAGCGUGGGGAGCAAACAGG